rnacentral:rRNA from 1 species
CCAGCACCUGCGGUAAUUCCAGCUCCAAUAGCGUAUAUUUAAGUUGUUGCAGUUAAAAAGCUCGUAGUUGGAUUUCGGGUGGGUUCUAGCGGUCCGCCUUUGGUGAGUACUGCUAUGGCCUUCCUUUCUGCCGGGGACGGGCUCCUGGGCUUCACUGUCCGGGACUCGGAGUCGGCGAGGAUACUUUGAGUAAAUUGGAGUGUUCAAAGCAGGCCUACGCUCUGAACAUUUUAGCAUGGAAUAUCACGAUAGGACUCUGGCCUAUCUUGUUGGUCUGUAGGACCGGAGUAAUGAUUAAGAGGGACAGUUGGGGGCACUCGUACUCCGUUGUCAGAGGUGAAAUUCUUGGAUUUACGGAAGACGAACAACUGCGAAAGCAUCUGCCAAGGAUGUUUUCAUUGAUCAAGAACGAAAGU